rnacentral:misc_RNA from 1 species
UUUCCGUAGGUGAACCUGCGGAAGGAUCAUUAAUGUGUUUGGGCCUCACGGCUCUUCAUUCCGACGCUGUGCGCCUUCGGGCUGCACGCUGAGGGAGCAUAUAUCCACCCCUGUGCACACACACGGUGGCGAGCUGGGAAACGGCUCGCCGCUGAUCUUUACACACGUCUAAAAGUCAUUGUAUGUUUAUUUGAGAUAAAAACACAACUUUCAGCAACGGAUCUCUUGGCUCUC